ensembl:lncRNA
GGGUGGCAUAAGAUGAGACUGGUGACCUUGGCAGGACACAGUUUACCGUGGAAUCUCGUACAGUUCAACAGGGGUCUUACAAGCCUGAAACCAAGAACUCGGCUGGCUGGCUCCUCAUCUGGAGGUUCAAUUAGGAAGAGAUCCACUUCCGCUCCCUCGGGUUGAAUAGAAUUCAUUUCCUGCGGUUGUGUGACUGAAGUUCCUGUAGCAGGCUGUGUUUACCUCUCAGCCUCAGUUUUCACGUCUUUAAAAUGGGAGCUAAGAAGAGAACCCAGAAGACCUAGUCCAUGCCUGCAAAUCAUUUAGAAUCUGUAACCUUCAGCAGUCAAUUCGUAUCUAUUACCAUUGCUGUCCACGUCUCUCUCCUCCUCCCUGACGAAAGAACCGAGGCUGAACAAAUGUUUCUCAGAUGGGGCCACCCCACCCCCCUCCACCUCCACCAGCAGGGAGGAGCUGACACAGGAAGAACACAGGAAUGGUUACACGGCUCUGAAGUUCAUCACCUUUUGCUGACCAGUCACAGCAACUCCCUGCAAAGAGGCUGCUUCAUCUCCAGACCUGACUUUGUAUUUCCCGGGUGAUCAUGGGAAAAUCACUGCACAUCUCUGAGCCUCAGUUUGUUCAUCUUCGAUAUGGGAACAUCAGCUCCCGCGCUGCAAGGACUCAGCAAGGAUUCCAUGAGACAGUAUGCAAACUCGCUAGCCCAAGUCUGUGGCUAGGGCUAGCUUUUAGUUUUUGAGUUGGUGUUUUGUUUUCUUAACUGGGGUAUUGUUGCUUUUCAGUGUUGUGUUAAUUUCUGCUGUACAAAGAAGUGAAUCAGCUAUAUGUACACAUAUAUCCCCUCCCUUUCGGACCUUGCUCCCAUCUAAACUGACAUUUCUCCAAAGAAGACAUUUAAGAGGCACAUGAAAAGAUGCUCAACUUCACUAAUUAUUAGAGAAAGGCAGAUCAAAACUACAAUGAGGUAUCACCUCACACCAGUCAGAGUGAGCCAUCAUCAAAAUAUCUACAAACAAGAGCUUUUAGCUUUUGAUUCCAUUUCCGCAAACACAGUCUUGAAACACUGCUUGUCUAGAGCAGCCUAUAGAGACCUUUUCUCACCCGUGUUCCUGUUUAAUUGCAGGCGAGUUUUUGCUCCCCUUAUAACUGAGUCUAGAAGAGAGGAAAUGUUUUGCCCAAGGUCACACAGUGGCUACAGGCAGCUCUGUGGUUUGAAUCCCCAAACCAAACUUUCUGACCCUCAUCUCAGAUUUUCUACCUUGAGUUGUCCCACCUUCUACCCACUGGCUAGUUCUAGAACUUGCAAAUCCACGCAUCUCAAAACUGUUACAUAGCCCUCCAACCCAACCCCAGACAGACUUCUUUAAAACUUAUUUCCACUCAAGCUUCAUACAUCCUACUUUUCUCCUCACUCCCAUCCCUAUCUUGGGGGGAAUCUAACUCUUUGAACUAGGGGUGGGUAGGGGGUAAGAAGAA